CAGCACAAGAUCGUCUGAACUACUGCAAGUCAUGAUGAGCAUCUGAUCGUCUUCAGAGACACAAAGAUCUCAGUGUUGAGCUGUUCAUCUGCAGUCUGUCAGAGAAGAGAGGAAAGAUGAGUCUCUCACACAAACAGAGUGUAAGAUCAGGCUCACAUGUGUCCAGCUCUGUGUCUGUGAAGAGUGACUGCUCAAAAGAUGAACCAAUGAAGU